rnacentral:rRNA from 1 species
CCUACGGGAGGCAGCAGUGGGGAAUCUUGCGCAAUGGGCGAAAGCCUGACGCAGCAACGCCGCGUGCGGGAAGAAGGCUCUCGGGUUGUAAACCGCUUUCAGCAGGAACGAAAAUGACGGUACUUGCAGAAGAAGGUGCGGCCAACUACGUGCCAGCAGCCGCGGUGACACGUAGGCACCAAGCGUUGUCCGGAUUUAUUGGGCGUAAAGAGCUCGUAGGCGGUUCGGUAAGUCAGGUGUGAAAACUUUGGGCUCAACCCAAAGCCUGCAUCUGAUACUGCUGUGACUAGAGUUCGGUAGGGGAGCGGGGAAUUCCUAGUGUAGCGGUGAAAUGCGCAGAUAUUAGGAGGAACACCGGUGGCGAAGGCGCCGCUCUGGGCCGAAACUGACGCUGAGGAGCGAAAGCGUGGGUAGCAAACAGGAUUAGAUACCCUGGUAGUCCACGCCGUAAACGUUGGGCACUAGGUGUGGGUUUCAACCAACGAAAUCCGCGCCGUCGCUAACGCAUUAAGUGCCCCGCCUGGGGAGUACGGCCGCAGGUUAAACUCAAAUGAAUUGACGG